rnacentral:lncRNA from 1 species
AUACACUGAAGCUGCACUUUGCUUGUCAGCCAACAGCUACCAGGCGCCUGAAACCGAUAAAAUCCUGACAAGGCAGCCUGAUUGCUGAGGUUGGCAGAAAGCCAUACCAACCCCAAGAUAACCACCAUCAUCUUCCACCAAAAGAGUGAGGAAAUCAAGCCCUGAUUUGUUUUACUCAAAGCAGGCAGAAGCAGCAAGGGAGAAAGGCGAUGCAGCACAGUACCAGUGUGUACCUAAAAUAGAUGCCUGCCUUUUUGCUUUAGAAGACAAAAUGGAGCUGAUCACCAGUGAGAAGACUGAGCUCUCUCUCCUGCAGUGGGCUGCCGUGAGGAGUGCAGAACAAGAGGAUGCCCUCUUGUUCAAUUCCCAGCACCUCAAAAAGAAAAAGCGGGGAGGGAGAGACACCAAAAGCAUUACUUUUUGGUGAUGUUCUGGAAAAUACUGUGCUGUAAAUACAGAGGUUAACUGUCUUCUCUACCCCCGCCACUCCAAACC